rnacentral:rRNA from 1 species
AGGGGACAGCGUCGGGAAACUGACGGGAAUCCCCCAUACCGGUCUCACGCUGGAAUGCCGAGACCGACAAACGCUCCGGCGCUGCAGGAUGCGGCUGCGGCCGAUUAGGUAGUCGGUGGGGUAACAGCCCACNGNGCCGAUAAUUGGUACGGGGUGUGAGAGCACGAGCCCGGAGACGGAAUCUGAGACAAGAUUCCGGGCCCUACGGGGCGCAGCAGGCGCGAAACCUUUACACUGCACGAACGUGCGAUAAGGGGACUCCGAGUGCGAGGGCAUACAGUCCUCGCUAUUGUGUACAGUAGGGUGGUACACGACCAAGAGCUGGGCAAGACCGGUGCCAGCCGCCGCGGUAAUACCGGCAGCUCGAGUGAUGGCCGAUUUUAUUGGGCCUAAAGCGUCCGUAGCUGGCCCUGCAAGUCCGUCGGGAAAUCCACUCGCCUAACGAGUGGGCGUCCGGCGGAAACUCCAGGGCUUGGGACCGGAAGACUUGAGGGGUACGUCUGGGGUAGGAGUGAAAUCCUGUAAUCCUGGACGGACCGCCGAUAGCGAAAGCACCUCAAGACGACGGAUCCGACAGUGAGGGACGAAAGCUAGGGUCUCGAACCGGAUUAGAUACCCGGGUAGUCCUAGCUGUAAACGAUGUUCGCUAGAUGUGGCACAGGCUACGUGCCUGUGCUGUGUCGUAGGGAAGCCGAGAAGCGAACCGCCUGGGAAGUACGUCCGCAAGGAUGAAACUUAAAGGAAUUGGCGGGGGAGCACUACAACCGGAGGAGCCUGCGGUUUAAUUGGAUUCAACGCCGG